rnacentral:rRNA from 1 species
AUUGAACGCUGGCGGCAGGCUUAACACAUGCAAGUCGAGCGGGGUGAUGGUGCUUGCACUAUCACUUAGCGGCGGACGGGUGAGUAAUGCUUAGGAAUCUGCCUAUUAGUGGGGGACAACAUCUCGAAAGGGAUGCUAAUACCGCAUCCGUCCUACGGGAGAAAGCAGGGGAUCACUUGUGACCUUGCGCUAAUAGAUGAGCCUAAGUCGGAUUAGCUAGUUGGUGGGGUAAAGGCCUACCAAGGCGACGAUCUGUAGCGGGUCUGGGAGGAUGAUCCGCCACACUGGGACUGAGACACGGCCCAGACUCCUACGGGAGGCAGCAGUGGGGAAUAUUGGACAAUGGGGGGAACCCUGAUCCAGCCAUGCCGCGUGUGUGAAGAAGGCCUUAUGGUUGUAAAGCACUUUAAGCGAGGAGGAGGCUCUUUUGGUUAAUACCCAAGAUGAGUGGACGUUACUCGCAGAAUAAGCACCGGCUAACUCUGUGCCAGCCGCCGCGGUAA